rnacentral:rRNA from 1 species
UUUACCUACGGGGGGCAGCAGUCGGGAAUAUUGCGCAAUGGAGGAAACUCUGACGCAGUGACGCCGCGUAUAGGAAGAAGGUUUUCGGAUUGUAAACUAUUGUCGUUAGGGAAGAUAAAAGACUGUACCUAAGGAGGAAGCCUCGGCUAACUACGUGCCAGCAGCCGCGGUAAUACGUAGGUGGCAAGCGUUGUCCGGAUUUAUUGGGCGUAAAGCGAGUGCAGGCGGUUCAAUAAAUCUGAU